GACGAACGCUGGCGGCGUGCCUAGUACAUGCAAGUAGAACGCUGAAGGAGGAGCUUGCUUCUCUGGAUGAGUUGCGAACGGGUGAGUAACGCGUAGGUAACCUGCCUGGUAGCGGGGGAUAACUAUUGGAAACGAUAGCUAAUACCGCAUAAGAGUAGAUGUCGCAUGACAUUUGCUUAAAAGGUGCAAUUGCAUCACUACCAGAUGGACCUGCGUUGUAUUAGCUAGUUGGUGAGGUAACGGCUCACCAAGGCAACGAUACAUAGCCGACCUGAGAGGGUGAUCGGCCACACUGGGACUGAGACACGGCCCAGACUCCUACGGGAGGCAGCAGUAGGGAAUCUUCGGCAAUGGACGGAAGUCUGACCGAGCAACGCCGCGUGAGUGAAGAAGGUUUUCGGAUCGUAAAGCUCUGUUGUAAGAGAAGAACGAGUGUGAGAGUGGAAAGUUCACACUGUGACGGUAUCUUACCAGAAAGGGACGGCUAACUACG
rnacentral:rRNA from 1 species